rfam:Streptomyces sp. AS58 P432contig18.1, whole genome shotgun sequence.
ACUGGGUUGAUAGGCCGGAUAUGGAAGCACGGUAACGUGUGGAGUUGACCGGUACUAAUAGGCCGAGGGCUUGUCCUC